UGUGUUUAACUCACAGGGUUGCCCCUAGA
rnacentral:piRNA from 1 species